GGGAGAUGCAUUCACUUCCUUUUGAGUUCAUAAACAGUGAAUAAAUUCUAGAUAAUAAAGCAGCUUGUGAAACAAUGAUUUCCCAUAUCCCUGAGGGAAGAGACUGUGUAAUUCAUCUUUGCAUCUCCCAUAACAUCUAACACAAAGCACAGUACAUUGGAGCUGGAGACAUAGAAUAUAUUGAAUCUGAAAAUUGAAAUAAAAGAAAAUUUUAUAAAAAUUGAGGUGAUUAUUUUGGCUAUCCAGAGAACACAAGUGGUAUUUAUCCUGAACCAUAGCGGAGAAGUAGGAUGGAAUUCAGGAAAAUGGGAAGAGAGCCCUGGAUUGAGAAGAGGCUAGGGGCUGAGGCAGAGUUAAAAAGAACAGAGGACACUUCUACGCCAAACUCAAGAUUCUGAGGCACAGGAAGCUGAAACUCUCUACCUCUCACUAUCCACCUGAUGCAGUUUGUCACCUUUAUCAAUCCUGACAGCUCUAGUAAAGCAGUGAAACAGGAUGUUAACGUCAAGGUCUCCGCCAAGAUACCAUGAUACAAUAGAAGCUGCAUGCCCAAGUGAGGUGCCAGAGCAGCACACACAGUCUCCUCACCCAUGGACUCUUCACCCAGGGUUCCUGACACCACUUGAAGGUUCCAGAACAGUAUUGGGCCUGCCUGGGUCAAAGAUUUCAUCCAGGCACAAGGACAAAAUUUACCUUGCUGUUUAUUCAGCAGUGAGAGACACAAAUAAGAUUAUGUUUUUCUUAUAACCUACAAGUCAUUUUUGUCUUAAGAUUCCCUUUAUGUAGUCGGGUAGUUUGGGUUGAAUUUAAGAGGGUUGUCUUGAAAGCGUAUUGGACCACUCGCAAAGAUGACAAACAGGAGAUGAAGGAUGAGAUUGUGAUGUCACGGUCUCAGGCACAGGAAAGGGCUCCACGUCUUAGUGAAGUCAGGGAACCAGGUCACGCUGCCAUCCUCACACUGCAGGCUGUAGAGACCUGGGAAGGAAGCCCAUAGCUCUU
rnacentral:lncRNA from 1 species